AAAGAUCAACGGUAUGGUUUUCUACUGAAUGUCUGAGUUUUGUCUAUUUCUAUGAGUUUAAAAGUGAUGUUGUCUCAUGUCAUAUAAUUCUUUCCCAUUGAAAUAUUACUCUCUCCUGGAGAGAGGCAGACAGCUCGUCAGAUUCAAAACUAAGAAGACGUACAGGAUUGGCGAGCUCCUCCCUCCUCAGGUGUGAUACAGCAAUGUGCAGUUGCUGUGAGAGGAGAAGCUUCAGGGUGGCUGCCUGCAAAUGUCCAGGGAGCUGCGGAAACACAGGCAACUUGCAGAAGUCAGCGCUGUGCUAUGUCUGCUUCACUGUGCUAAGUGCACUCUUCGGUGACAGCUGCCUGAGUCACUCUCGCUCCUUUUUUAGGAGGGAACGGCAGAAGCAAUAUAUUGAGAUAAUUCCAUGAACGGAACAGCGCUCAAGCAGGACGCAGUAGCUUGUGGUGAAGAUUUUAUAGUUACUAAAGCUGGAAGGUUGGUAGCUCUACAGCAAACGUGGCAUUGAGAAAUCACCAAAGGAGGCUUGGAAACAAACAUUUCAUAAGUGUCAUCUGGAGUGUCCAGAGAGACACUCCAGUAAAAGAGCAGUCAAGAACCCCAGGCUAGUAGUUCAGUGAUUGGACUGAAGCUGCAAUCAAGGUUAUUAGAAUACUCGUUACAGACAUUUCUAACCAGGGUGUUAGAAUAUAAGAAUUAAGUUCAAAUUCUU
rnacentral:lncRNA from 1 species